AUUGAACGCUGGCGGCAGGCCUAACACAUGCAAGUCGAGCGGAUGAAGGGAGCUUGCUCCUGGAUUCAGCGGCGGACGGGUGAGUAAUGCCUAGGAAUCUGCCUGGUAGUGGGGGAUAACGUCCGGAAACGGGCGCUAAUACCGCAUACGUCCUGAGGGAGAAAGUGGGGGAUCUUCGGACCUCACGCUAUCAGAUGAGCCUAGGUCGGAUUAGCUAGUUGGUGGGGUAAAGGCCUACCAAGGCGACGAUCCGUAACUGGUCUGAGAGGAUGAUCGGUCACACUGGAACUGAGACACGGUCCAGACUCCUACGGGAGGCAGCAGUGGGGAAUAUUGGACAAUGGGCGAAAGCCUGAUCCAGCCAUGCCGCGUGUGUGAAGAAGGUCUUCUGAUUGUAAAGCACUUUAAGUUGGGAGGAAGGGCAGUAAGUUAAUACCUUGCUGUUUUGACGUUACCAACAGAAUAAGCACCGGCUAACUUCGUG
rnacentral:rRNA from 1 species